AGAGUUUGAUCCUGGCUCAGGACGAACGCUGGCGGCGUGCUUAACACAUGCAAGUCGAACGGAAAGGCUCCUUCGGGGGCGCUCGAGUGGCGAACGGGUGAGUAACACGUGGGUGAUCUGCUGCACUUCGGGAUAAGCUUGGGAAACUGGGUCUAAUACCGGAUAGGACCAUGAGGCGCAUGUUUUGUGGUGGAAAGCUU
rnacentral:rRNA from 1 species